UACGGGGGGGGCUAGCGUUGUCCGGAAUCAUUGGGCGUAAAGCGCGUGUAGGCGGCCCGAUAAGUCCGCUGUGAAAGUCGGGGGCUCAACCCUCGAAAGCCGGUGGAUACUGUCAGGCUAGAGUACGGAAGAGGCGAGUGGAAUUCCGUGGUGUAGCGGUGAAAUGCGCAGAUAUCAGGAAGAACACCAAUGGCGAAAGCAGCUCUCUGGGACGGUACUGACGCUGAGACGCGAAAGCGUGGGGAGCGAACAGG
rnacentral:rRNA from 1 species